GACGAACGCUGGCGGCGUGCUUAACACAUGCAAGUCGAACGGAAAGGCCCUGCUUUUGUGGGGUUCUCGAGUGGCGAACGGGUGAGUAACACGUGAGUAUCCUGCCCUUGACUUUGGGAUAACUUCAGGAAACUGGGGCUAAUACCGGAUAGGAGCUCCUGCUGCUUGGUGUGGGUUGGAAAGUUUCGGCGGUUGGGUAUGGACUCGCGGCUUAUCAGCUUGUUGGUGGGGUAGUGGCUUACCAAGGCUUUGACGGGUAGCCGGCCUGAGAGGGUCACCGGCCACAUUGGGACUGCGAUACGGGCCAGACUCCUACGGGAGGCAGCAGUGGGGAAUAUUGCAGAAUGGGCGGAAGCCAGAUGCAGCAAUGCCGCGUGCGGGAUGACGGCCUUCGGGUUGUAAACCGCUUUCGCCUGUGACGAAGCGUGAGUGACGGUAAUGGGUAAAGAAGCACCGGCUAACUACGUG
rnacentral:rRNA from 1 species